rnacentral:pre_miRNA from 1 species
UAUAAUGUUUUGACUCUUCGUCUUAUUUAAAAUUAUUUUGUGAUUACAAUUUUUAUUCUUACUAGAUGAUAAAACAUAAGUAGUACUCUAUGUGUGACUAAUUUUUUUAAUUUUUUUAAUUUUUUUUAAAAUAAGACGAAUGGUCAAACGUUGGACACGGAAA